UACGGAGGGUGCAAGCGUUUAUCCGGAUUUACUGGGUUUAAAGGGUGCGUAGGUGGGCAGGUAAGUCAGUGGUGAAAUCUCCGAGCUUAACUCGGAAACUGCCAUUGAUACUAUCUGUCUUGAAUUAUCUGGAGGUGAGCGGAAUAUGUCAUGUAGCGGUGAAAUGCUUAGAUAUGACAUAGAACACCAAUUGCGAAGGCAGCUCACUACGGAUAUAUUGACACUGAGGCACGGAAAAGCGUGGG
rnacentral:rRNA from 1 species